GUUGAAACACUGGUUUUCAUCUGAUUACUGAAAUUAAGCAAUGUCUAGCUUGGUCAGUACUUAGAUGGGUGACUGUUUGGGAAUAUUUGGUGCUGCAA